AGUUUGAUCCUGGCUCAGGAUGAACGCUAGCUACAGGCUUAACACAUGCAAGUCGAGGGGCAGCAUGGUCUUAGCUUGCUAAGGCCGAUGGCGACCGGCGCACGGGUGAGUAACACGUAUCCAACCUGCCGUCUACUCUUGGAUAGCCUUCUGAAAGGAAGAUUAAUACAAGAUGGCAUCAUGAGUCCGCAUGUUCACAUGAUUAAAGGUAUUCCGGUAGACGAUGGGGAUGCGUUCCAUUAGAUAGUAGGCGGGGUAACGGCCCACCUAGUCUUCGAUGGAUAGGGGUUCUGAGAGGAAGGUCCCCCACAUUGGAACUGAGACACGGUCCAAACUCCUACGGGAGGCAGCAGUGAGGAAUAUUGGUCAAUGGGCGAGAGCCUGAACCAGCCAAGUAGCGUGAAGGAUGACUGCCCUAUGGGUUGUAAACUUCUUUUAUAAAGGAAUAAAGUCGGGUAUGGAUACCCGUUUGCAUGUACUUUAUGAAUAAGGAUCGGCUAACUCCGUGCCAGCAGCCGCGGUAAUACGGAGGAUCCGAGCGUUAUCCGGAUUUAUUGGGUUUAAAGGGAGCAUAGAUGGAUGUUUAAGUCAGUUGUGAAAGUUUGCGGCUCAACCGUAAAAUUGCAGUUGAUACUGGAUAUCUUGAGUGCAGUUGAGGCAGGCGGAAUUCGUGGUGUAGCGGUGAAAUGCUUAGAUAUCACGAAGAACUCCGAUUGCGAAGGCAGCCUGCUAAGCUGCAACUGACAUUGAGGCUCGAAAGUGUGGGUAUCAAACAGGAUUAGAUACCCUGGUAGUCCACACGGUAAACGAUGAAUACUCGCUGUUUGCGAUAUACAGCAAGCGGCCAAGCGAAAGCGUUAAGUAUUCCACCUGGGGAGUACGCCGGCAACGGUGAAACUCAAAGGAAUUGACGGAAGGGCGA
rnacentral:rRNA from 1 species